rnacentral:tRNA from 2 species
GCUACUGUGGCUCAGCUGGUAGAGCAGCUCACUCGUAAUGAGCAGGUCGUCCGUUCGAAUCGGAUCAGUAGCUCCA